rnacentral:rRNA from 1 species
AUUGAACGCUAGCGGGAUGCUUAACACAUGCAAGUCGAACGAGUGGCGGACGGGUGAGUAAUAUAUAGGAAAGUGCCCAGUAGCGGGGGAUAACUACUAGAAAGGGUGGCUAAUACCGCAUACUAUUGGAGCGGCCGAGAUCGGAUUAGCUAGUAGGUGGGGUAAAGGCUCACCAAGGCGACGAUCCGUAGCUGGUCUGAGAGGAUGAUCAGCCACACUGGGACUGAGACACGGCCCAGACUCCUACGGGAGGCAGCAGUGGGGAAUAUUGCACAAUGGGCGCAAGCCUGAUACAGCCAUGCCGCGUGUAUGAAGAAGGCCCUAGGGUUGUAAAGUACUUUCAGUCGGGAGGCGUUACCGACAGAAGAAGCACCGGCUAACUCCGUGCCAGCAGCCGCGGUAAUAC